rnacentral:rRNA from 1 species
UUUUUAUAGUAAAGUAUUUAUUUGAGUAGUAGUAGGGUUCUUGAAACUUAAAGAAUUUGGCGGUAUAUUAAUCUGUUUAGAGGAMCCUGYUCUGUAAUCGAUAAUCCMCGUAAAUUUGMCCUAGAUUUGUAUAYCAGCUUGUAUAYCMCUGUCGUAAGAUUAUUUUAUGAGAAAUUUUUCAAUAAUAAAUUUUUAUUUAUGUCAAGUCAAGGUGCAGUAAAUGUUUAGGGUUGAGAUGGGUUACAAUAUAGGAAUAUAUACGAAUAURAGUUUGUAAUAUUUAUUGAAGGUGGAUUUGAUWGUAAUAUAAGGUUAUUUACUU